UAUAGGCCGUGGCUACUAUACUAUUAUGAGUAUUGGAGCCCUUGUACUUAUAAGUUGCUUUCGAUGAUGGAGCUUAUGAAUCGACGAUCCACUCCGUUAAAUAUGAUCUAGAGUAUUUGAAACUUCUAAAAAAUAAAUUUUGUAAAUUUUCGAAAUCAUAAUAAAGUCCAUCAAGCGGGCAUAAAAUAAACGGUCAAAAUCAAACGACGUCCUAAAAAAGGAUGAUCGGAUCCUUCAAUUCAAGAUCGGAGUUAUUGAUCUUUAUCUAGGUAGUGAAUAGAAUUUUCUAUAAAAAAUUCAACAAAUUUUGAUUCUUUUACACCGUUAAACUAGCAAGUAUCGCAUACCGGCCAUUAAAAAUUAUCAAAUUUGUGACCUCUUGAUCGUAAGGUAAAUGAUGUCGAAAAAUUAUAAAAUUUGAUUUCUAGAAGUUUUAAAUGCUGUAAAUAACGUUUAACGGUAUGGAUCGUCGAUUCGGAAGCUCUAUCAUCGAAAUGAUUUAUGAGUAUGAGAGCGAUCAUACUCAUAAUAGUAUAAUAGCCGGACCCAUAUAGGCUAGAGCUACUAUCCUAUUAAUAGGAUAGGAGCACUUGUCCUAUCAAAUUGUUCUUGAUGAUAGAGAUUCCAAAUCGAUGAUCGGAGCCGUUGAAGUUGAUCUAAAGUAUUUGAAAUAUCUAGAAACUAAAUUUCAUAAAUUUUAAAAAUUAUUUACAUGGUGAUCAAAGUGUUGUAAAAUUGACAAUUUUUGAUGGCCUAUAUGAGCCGUUUACUUGUUUUACGGUGUAGAGUAAUUCAAAUUGCUUGAAUUUUUUAUAGAAAAUUCUUUAUACUAUUUAGAUAAUGUUUGAUAACUCUGAUUAUGAAUUGAGAAAGUUUAACCUCUAUUUUAAGAAGGUUAUUCAUUUAUGACCGUUCAUUUUUCAAUUCUUAAGAUGAACUUGAUAAUGAUUUUUAAAUAUUACGAAAUUUGGUUUCUAAACAUUUCUAAUUGUGUAGACCAAUUUCAACGGUGCCGAUUAUCAAUUUGGAGUGUCCAUUAUUCAAAACGAUUUGAUAGGACAACGGUCUCAAUCCUAUUAAUAGGAUAGUAGCCGGACUCUCUCUCUCUCUCUCUCUCUCUGGUAUGCUUAUGGAAGCACGGAGCCCUCUGUGCUUCCAAGUUGUUUUCGAUGUUCGGACUUUCGAAUCGACGAUCGGCUUUGUUAGACUUAAUCAAGAGUAUUUGAAGUACCUAGAAAAUAAAUUUUGUGAUUUUUCGAUAUCAUUUGCUUAGUGAUCGAAGGGGCUCAAAAUCAAUAAUUUUAACGGUCGUGGUGAGCCGGUUGCAAGUUUAACGGUGUAGAAAUAUCCAAAUCAUAUAAAAUUUUGAUAGAAAAUUCUUUAUACCAUAUAAAACAAGAUCAAUAACUUUGAUCUAAAAUUUUAAUGUCAUAUCAUCAUAUUUUGUAAGAUUUUUAUUUUCAGCCGUUGAUUUUGAGCCACUUCAAUCACUAGGCAAAUAAUAUCGAAAAAUCGCAAAAUUUAUUUUCUAGAUACUUCAAAUACUCUAGAUCAAGU
rnacentral:lncRNA from 1 species